rnacentral:rRNA from 1 species
GACGAACGCUGGCGGCGUGCUUAACACAUGCAAGUCGAACGGAAAGGCCCUGCUUUUGCGGGGUGCUCGAGUGGCGAACGGGUGUGUAUCACGUGUGUAACCUGCCCUUGACUUUGGGAUAACUUCUGGAAACUGGGGCUAUUAUCGGAUAGGAGAUCCUGCUGCAUGGUGGGGGUUGGAAAGUUUCGGCGGUUGUGGAUGGACUCGCGGCUUAUCAGCUUGUUGGUGGGGUAGUGGCUUACCAAGGCUUUGACGGGUAGCCGGCCUGAGAGGGUGACCGGCCACAUGGGGACUAAGGUACGGCCCAGAAGCCUACGGGACGCAACAGUGGAGAAUAUUGCGCAAUGAGCGGAAGCCUGAUGCAGCAACGCUGCGAUCGGAAUGACGGCCUUCGAGUUGUAAACCGCUUUCGCCGGUGACGAAGCGUGAGUGACGGUAAUGGGUAAAAAAGCACCGGCUAACUACGUG